CUGCCCGGCCUCCAUGAGAACAAGCCAGGCCAGCCUGUGGGAGGAUGAGAGACCAGCAAACCACUGCUGAGUCAGAUUGGUCAUCUGAGCUGAGGCCUCAGACAUGUGAGAGAAUCAGCUCUGGACAAGAGAUAUCUUCUGUGUGAUCAACUGCAAACAAGUUUGUGCCAGAAACUGGGUCAACAAGAAAAGAACAGAAGACUUAGUCCCAGAUUGCUGGAAAGCAGAGAGUGUUCUAAGCAAAGGCAGCUGCUCUAAGAUGAAAUAGAAGGAGGAGAAGAAUAGAGAAAUCUAGAGCAGUACCUGGAGAAGGUCGUUGAUGAACUUGACCUUUGCUGGCAGCCAAAUGGGAACUACUCAAGAGAUUUCUGAAGGUGGGAACAAAAAAGAAUAUAGCACACAACAAGAAGUGGAGGGUCUGAGAGGAAGCAAGUCACCAGAGCUCUCCAUGCAGCCUUCCUCUCUGCAGUUAAUCUGCCUCUGAUGCCAGAGGAUGAGAAGGAACAAGACUGAGUCAUUGCCCAUUGAAUCAAAGGGAAAGAACACAGUGCCUUGCUCUUAUUGCUGGGGAGUAAAUUAAAAGAAUUCUUCCUUUUCAAAGGAGAGUUUGCUUUCGAUUAAGAAGAGAUGCUGUUACUUACGUUUGACCUAUUUUCUCUAGACCUUGGUGAUUUCCAGCACAACACUGGAAAUCACCAAGGUUGCGCACCACCUUCUGACUCAUCUUUUUUUGCCCCUCCCUUCCCUGGUGUCUUUUAAGAAGAAAAUCUAUUCUCUGCUUGCUGAGACUUGAGCUCAAUUUUUGGUCAGUGUCUCAAAUAACCACUAGAUGGCAUUAAAACCCAAUUUGAGCCUAGGACGGAUUAUAUCUAUAAUCAAUUCUUGAAAAUUUGUGCUGUCAGAGUGUAGUUAGGCAACAUUGCUGAAUAUUCUAGUCACUUAUUUGUGAAUCAAUUUUCUACCUUUGUACAGGAGGAGGUAAACCCUGCAGUCAGAUAUCAAAUUUUGGCACAAGGAGUCUCCCUGUCCCCCAAUUAGCAGAACCAUAGAAUGGCCAUAGAACUGUCUGUGAUGCAUGUAGCUGGGAGAAGACCAGUCCCUCAGAAAUAAAAAAAAUACUUGCCUAUCACUUUUGCUACUCAUAACUCUCUCUGAGUCAUGUUGAUAAGAACAUACUACUUUAAAUAUCUUUAAAGAGGAAUCAUACAACAUUGAAAUUCAGGAAUAAAAUAACCCACAAAGACAUGCCAAAAUAAAUAAUAGCUCUUUUGUCCCAGAUGGGUUUUGUUGACACAAAAACAGGAUGGAAUAGAAUAAAAGGAGGAAAUACAGAAGUGGAGACCCUACCUGGGAAUCAUUGGUUGACACAUUGUACCAAAUGAUGGAUGCCCAAGCAUUAGGU